rnacentral:rRNA from 1 species
AUUGAACGCUGGCGGAAUGCUUUACACAUGCAAGUCGAACGGCAGCACGGGGGCAACCCUGGUGGCGAGUGGCGAACAGGUGAGUAAUACAUCGGAACGUGCCCAGUCGUGGGGGAUAACGUAGCGAAAGUUACGCUAAUACCGCAUACGAUCUACGGAUGAAAGCGGGGGACCGUAAGGCCUCGCGCGAUUGGAGCGGCCGAUGUCAGAUUAGGUAGUUGGUGAGGUAAAGGCUCACCAAGCCGACGAUCUGUAGCUGGUCUGAGAGGACGACCAGCCACACUGGGACUGGGACACGGCCCAGACUCCUACGGGAGGCAGCAGUGGGGAAUUUUGGACAAUGGGCGCAAGCCUGAUUCAGCCAUUCCGCGUGCAGGACGAAGGCCUUCGGGUUGUAAACUGCUUUUGUACGGAACGAAAAGGCUCUGGUUAAUACCUGGGGCUCAUGACGGUACCGUAAGAAUAAGCACCGGCUAACUACGUGCCAGCCGCCGCAGUAA